GACGAACGCUGGCGGCGUGCUUAACACAUGCAAGUCGAGCGGUAAGGCCCUUUCGGGGUACACGAGCGGCGAACGGGUGAGUAACACGUGGGUGACCUGCCCUCCAGCUCUGGGAUAAGCCUGGGAAACCGGGUCUAAUACUGGAUAUGACUCCAUGACGCAUGUUGUGGGGUGGAAAGCCUUGUGCGGCUGAGGAUGGGCCCGCGGCCUAUCAGCUUGUUGGUGGGGUGAUGGCUUACCAAGGCGACGACGGGUAGCCGGCCUGAGAGGGCGACCGGCCACACUGGGACUGAGACACGGCCCAGACUCCUACGGGAGGCAGCAGUGGGGAAUCUUGCGCAAUGGGCGAAAGCCUGACGCAGCGACGCCGCGUGAGGGAUGACGGCCU
rnacentral:rRNA from 1 species